rnacentral:misc_RNA from 1 species
CCUUUGUUGUUAAAACUACCUUGUUGCUUUGGCGGGACCGCUCGGUCUCGAGCCGCUGGGGAUUCGUCCCAGGCGAGCGCCCGCCAGAGUUAAACCAAACUCUUGUUAUUUAACCGGUCGUCUGAGUUAAAAUUUUGAAUAAAUCAAAACUUUCAACAACGGAUCUCUUGGUUCUCGCAUCGAUGAAGAACGCAGCGAAAUGCGAUAAGUAAUGUGAAUUGCAGAAUUCAGUGAAUCAUCGAAUCUUUGAACGCACAUUGCGCCCCUUGGUAUUCCGAGGGGCAUGCCUGUUCGAGCGUCAUUACACCACUCAAGCUAUGCUUGGUAUUGGGCGUCGUCCUUAGUUGGGCGCGCCUUAAAGACCUCGGCGAGGCCACUCCGGCUUUAGGCGUAGUAGAAUUUAUUCGAACGUCUGUCAAAGGAGAGGAACUCUGCCGACUGAAACCUUUAUUUUUCUAGGUUGACCUCGGAUCAGGUAGGGAUACCCGCUGAACUUAAGCAUAUAAUUAAAGGCGGAGGAA